AUGGCGCAAGAUAAUACCAAAUUGGGUGAUUUCUCCAAUACCAAUAAUAAUGAUUUCCUUAGCACUCCGAUUGCUCCUCUUAAUGAUGUUGAGUCUUGUGAAAUCAAUACUGCUUUGCUGAAUCUUGUUAUGAAAGAUCAAUUCACCGGCCUUCCUAGUGAAGAUGUUGCUACUUAUCUAAACAACUCUGUUGAUUUGUGUGAUAUGCAAAAGAAGAAAGAUAUGAAUAAUGAUAUUGUUAAAUUGAAGUUAUUUUCGUUUUCACUUAGAGAUCGUGCUAAAGUUUGGUUUUCGUCUUUGCCUAAAAAUAGUAUUGAUUCUUGGAACAAUUGCAAAGAUGCUCUUAUCUCUAAGUACUUUCCUCCUGCUAAGAUUAUCACUCUUAGGAACGAUAUUAUGAAUUUUAAACAACUUGAUCAUGAGCAUGUUGCCCAAUCUUGGGAAAGAAUGAAAUUGAUGAUUCGCAAUUGCCCUACUCAUGGUUUGAGUUAA
rnacentral:rRNA from 1 species